GCGAGAGCCUGCCGGAGGCGCAUCACCUGCUGCGCGCCUACAACGCGCUGGCGCGCAUCGCCGCGCCGGCGCUGCUGUUCAAGUCCGAGGCGAUCGUGC
rnacentral:tRNA from 1 species